rnacentral:lncRNA from 1 species
UGUCUACUGUUAAUGCAUUAUUUUUAAGGAAAUAAUGUUAUAAGUAUUUUAUUUAUUUUAUUUAUUUUAUUUUUUUUAUUUUGUUAAUUUAUGAAUGUGUUUCAAAUAAAUGAUGCAUUAUUUGUCAGUGUGCUUUUUAUGAAUGAAAUGAUUUACACAUUAUGGGUAUUAUGCACAAUUGAUAGAUAAACGCGUGUAUAUGUAUAUAUACGUAUAUGUAUAUAUACGUAUAAGCAUAUACACGUACAUACGUACAUAUAUACACGAGCGUACACACUUUGAUGCCUAAUAGUUGAUAAAAAAAAAAAAAAAAAAAAAUGUCUAAGAUAAAAGCGGGUAGCUCGGAAGGGACACAGGUAGAUCUUAUAGAUUUUGAAAACAUGUCUAUCGAAAACGAACAGUGUAAAAAUAAACUAAAAGAAAUAAUAAAAAGAGUUUUUAUAGGAACUAGCGAGGACUCGAAAAAUUUUUUACUAAUGCAGAACAUUGGCAUAACACACAAACUAAUUAUAAGAAAUUCAAGAAAAGAUAAUGUUGCAAGAAUUAUGUAUCAAAACGUAAUUAAAAAAAAAAAAAAAAAAUACACACACACACACAAACGUUAAUUCUUUUUUUUCAUUGGUUUUUUAGUUAAUUAGUUGGAUAGUUGGAUAGUUGGGUAGUUGGAUAGUUCUUUAGUUAGUUUGUUAACUCAUUCGUUCAUUAGUUUUCUCUCUAAUUGGCCUAUUCAAUCUAUACAUAGAUAAAAGUACAUAUUAGCUUAUAUUCAAACUUUGAAUUAUUUACAUACGUAUAUAUGCAAGUAUAUACAAGUAUUUACUAAUAUAUAUACGUUUUUUUGUUGUUUUAAAUUCCUCAUAAACAUUAUAAAGGACUUCGAAUACUACAUAAUUGAUUUAAAUAACAAACUUGAAUUUACAAAGUAUAAUCACUUCAAAUUUUUGCUGGAUGAAAUUUUAUUUAAAAAUAAGGAAAAUAAAGUUUUUAUAUAUAGGUAUUCA